AUACGGAGGAUGCAAGCGUUAUCCGGAUUUAUUGGGUUUAAAGGGUUCGUAGGCGGAAAAUUAAGUCAGUGGUGAAAGCCUGCAGCUCAACUGCAGAACUGCCAUUGAUACUGAUUUUCUUGAAUUUAUAUGAAGUGGGCGGAAUGCGUCAUGUAGCGGUGAAAUGCACAGAUAUGACGCAGAACACCAAUUGCGAAGGCAGCUCACUAAUGUAAUAUUGACGCUGAGGAACGAAAGCAUGGGGAGCGAACAGGAUUAGAAACCCCAGUAGUCC
rnacentral:rRNA from 1 species